CGUGGGCGCUGGAGAACUGAGGGGGGCUGCUCCUAGUACGAGAGGACCGGAGUGGACGCAUCACUGGUGUUCGGGUUGUCAUGCCAAUGGCACUGCCCGGUAGCUAAAUGCGGAAGAGAUAAGUGCUGAAAGCAUCUAAGCACGAAACUUGCCCCGAGAUGAGUUCUCCCUGAGACUUAGAGUCUCCUGAAGGAACGUUGAAGACGACGACGUUGAUAGGCCGGGUGUGUAAGCGCAGCGAUGCGUUGAGCUAACCGGUACUAAUGAACCGUGAGGCUUAACCUU
rnacentral:rRNA from 1 species